UAUAUUAUAUAGUUUGUACAGGAAGAUCCAUAUUCUUUUAAAAAAUAAUUUGUUCCUAUCCUUUCUCUGUUUCAAAAGAUCCUAUAAUUUCUAUCCCAUAUUCUCUGUUUCCGUUCAUCCAUCCAUCCGUUCAAUAUAUAUAAAUAUAUUUGUGUUAUAUAUGUAUCUAUUUCUUUCUAUUAUCUGUACAGAGGGGAUCCUAUAUUCUUUCGAAAACCCAUUGUUCGGAAUACUCACUGCCGACGUUACGAAGCAUCGUCGUUGCCCGCUAUGUUCUUUUGCCGGAAAAAGCACAAAUAUCUCUCGAUCUAGCAGGUGAUGUAUGCGUGUAUUGAUGCGUUUUUGAUCUUUGAGGUUGGAAGGGUUUUGAUUUCUCAGAAGGAUUGAUCUUAUAUGACUGACUUAUUGAGAACAUGUGAGGCUUUGCAUGCUGAAAAAUGGACUGAGCACAUGUUUUGGCUGCCAUGGCACGGACUACCACCCCCACCAUCAACAUCACCCACCAUUUCCAUCAUCAUCUGGAGCAUUGAUUGUACACACUGGGCUUGAGAGAAUCGUCUGGUGGCUUGGCGUGGCCAAUACACGAGAGGUGGCCAAAAAGAGCCGUCAAUAAUGCUUGAAGGAGUGGCGUCACAUGAUACAUGGAUUUGGCACUUGUAAUUUGGUGUUGCCUAUUCAAACAACGACGUUAAUCUGUUGAAUCAAUCUCCCUUAUUCAAGUACUAUGAAGACUACAAAGCACCAGUCGUUCCAUUCACUAAUAAUAGGGACUGAAUAUAAGUACCUGUAUUUCCUCGUGGAUGGGAUCUACCCAAGAUAUGUGUUGUUUGUGAAAACCAUUCCUCAUCCAAUCAGUGAGAAAAGGAUUCGAUUUGCGAGGGCACAAGAGGCUGCACGGAAGGAUGUGGAGCGAACUUUUGGUAUUAUCAAAACACGCUUGAAAAAUACUUAAAGAACCGACAAGACAAAUGGAUGAACUCCCCAUCCGUAAGAUCAUGUAUGCGUGUUGUAUUCUUCACAACCUGAUUUUAAAAGAUGGGGAUCACGCAUCAUGUCCUGAUUAUAUUCCAGAUACUCCAGUUGCGCCACAUCAGUUAAAUGCUUGUCUAGCAGAGAUACAUGACUCAAACAUACACGAAGAUCAUCGGAUGGAUCUCAUUGACCAUAUUCAUCGCAUAAUGAUCACGGGAAUUAAUCGCUAGUUUAUUUAUUUUUUGUGUCGUCGUUUUAGAUUGUAGUUUCGUGUUUUAUUUUGUUGUAUUAGUUUAAUAUUGUACUCCCUCCGUCCCACUAAUUGUGUCCAGUUUUGAAUA